rnacentral:lncRNA from 1 species
ACAGGUUUAUGACAUGAAACUCAUAGUAUUGUGCUAACAUGCGGUUGACAACGCAUGCAACAAAUGUGCCCCCCAAUUUUUAAAAAAAUUUCAGAGCACAACGCAUACAACAAAUGUGCCCCUCAAGUUUUUAAAAAUUUUUAGAGCUUACCCCUAUCAGUUGAAAUCUUGUCAAUGCACAUAACAAAUGUGCCUCCCCG